UGGGGAAUUUUGGACAAUGGGCGCAAGCCUGAUCCAGCCAUGCCGCGUGCGGGAAGAAGGCCUUCGGGUUGUAAACCGCUUUUGUCAGGGAAGAAAUCCUUUGAGCUAAUACCUCGGGGGGAUGACGGUACCUGAAGAAUAAGCACCGGCUAACUACGUGCCAGCAGCCGCGGUAAUACGUAGGGUGCAAGCGUUAAUCGGAAUUACUGGGCGUAAAGCGUGCGCAGGCGGUUAUGCAAGACAGAGGUGAAAUCCCCGGGCUCAACCUGGGAACUGCAUUUGUGACUGCAUAGCUGGAGUGCAGCAGAGGGGGAUGGAAUUCCGCGUGUAGCAGUGAAAUGCGUCAAUAUGCGGAGGAACACCGAUGGCGAAGGCAAUCCCCUGGGCCUGCACUGACGCUCAUGCACGAAAGCGUGGGGAGCAAACA
rnacentral:rRNA from 1 species